UAUCCUUAUUUGCCAGCGCGUUAUGGCGGGAACUCUAAGGAGACUGCCGGUGAUAAACCGGAGGAAGGUGAGGACGACGUCAAGUCAUCAUGGCCCUUACGGGAUGGGCUACACACGUGCUACAAUGGCAGGUACAGAGGGCAGCAAUACCGCGAGGUGGAGCGAAUCCCACAAAGCUUGUCGUAGUCCGGAUUGGAGUCUGCAACUCGACUCCAUGAAGUCGGAAUCGCUAGUAAUCGUAGAUCAGAAUGCUACGGUGAAUACGUUC
rnacentral:rRNA from 1 species